UCCUGACUGACCGAUAGUGAACCAGUACCGUGAGGGAAAGGCGAAAAGAACCCCGGCGAGGGGAGUGAAAAAGAACCUGAAACCGUGUACGUACAAGCAGUGGGAGCACGCUUAGGCGUGUGACUGCGUACCUUUUGUAUAAUGGGUCAGCGACUUAUAUUCUGUAGCAAGGUUAACCGAAUAGGGGAGCCGAAGGGAAACCGAGUCUUAACUGGGCGUUAAGUUGCAGGGUAUAGACCCGAAACCCGGUGAUCUAGCCAUGGGCAGGUUGAAGGUUGGGUAACACUAACUGGAGGACCGAACCGACUAAUGUUGAAAAAUUAGCGGAUGACUUGUGGCUGGGGGUGAAAGGCCAAUCAAACCGGGAGAUAGCUGGUUCUCCCCGAAAGCUAUUUAGGUAGCGCCUCGUGAAUUCAUCUCCGGGGGUAGAGCACUGUUUCGGCAAGGGGGUCAUCCCGACUUACCAACCCGAUGCAAACUGCGAAUACCGGAGAAUGUUAUCACGGGAGACACACGGCGGGUGCUAACGUCCGUCGUGAAGAGGGAAACAACCCAGACCGCCAGCUAAGGUCCCAAAGUCAUGGUUAAGUGGGAAACGAUGUGGGAAGGCCCAGACAGCCAGGAUGUUGGCUUAGAAGCAGCCAUCAUUUAAAGAAAGCGUAAUAGCUCACUGGUCGAGUCGGCCUGCGCGGAAGAUGUAACGGGGCUAAACCAUGCACCGAAGCUGCGGCAGCGACGCUUAUGCGUUGUUGGGUAGGGGAGCGUUCUGUAAGCCUGCGAAGGUGUGCUGUGAGGCAUGCUGGAGGUAUCAGAAGUGCGAAUGCUGAC
rnacentral:rRNA from 1 species